CAAAAUAAAUAAAUAAACUUUAAAAAUAAAAUCUUUACUAAAAUAAUCAACUAGUGUAGGCCUUAGACUACAGAUGUAAAAAAGGUUGUCAUUAUAUUCAUAAGCAAACAUGUAUUGGAUAUCUUCACAACAGGUAUUACAUAUUUAUACACAAGAAUCUUAUAAUGAUGUUGCAAAUAUGUAGUUCACAUUGAAAUAGGGGUAAAAAUGAAAGUGAGACUAGUGAUAAUUUGGUACGUUGUUUCAAUAAUAAUAAUAAUAAUGUGAAGAAAGAGGCAUUUGCAAUCAUGGAAUGCAUAAGACAUGUCAAGCACAGUAUUAAGUAUUUUUAGGAAUAACUUUAUAUCUUUUCUCAACAACCCUCUAACUGAAGUUAUAGGGUAUCUUCAUUUUCUAAAUGAGAAAACUAGGCCUGAAAAAGAAGUCAUCUCCCCAAGUUCACAUCACUGGGCAGUGGGGUAGACUCUAAACCCAAGCAAUCACAGAGACCUCAUCCUUAACCUCUGCAUUCUACUGUUCCCUCUCUGUCUUUGAUGAUAAAUUUUAUAGUAAAGUAAGUUUGAGAGGAAACCAAAAUGCAGAUGUGUAAUUCAUUCAAGCUAGGAAAAAGGAAUUAGAAGAAAUUCUAUUAUGAAUUUCUAAACAAUUUCUAUAUACAUAAACCAAAAUAUUCAGAAUAGUCCUUUUCCCUGAGUUUUCUAGAAAGUGAGUCUUGUAUGAUAACCCUAAACUCCAUAUAUGUUGACCCUGACCAUAUUUAUUUGCUCACCUUACUUAAAUGGAAUCAUGUGUAUCUAAGUUUAGAAGUUAGCCUUCAGGGAGACUGAGAUGUCCUAAAUAACACAACAUAAAACUUCAAUGAAAAAUGAAAAUAAACUGGAAAAAUGUAUUUCUAUAAAAAAUAGUAACAGUUAGUUAUCUGUUUACUAAUGGCAUGCUCCAUUGUAUUGAUUUGUCUCAAUCUGUACAACUGCAAAAAUAUAUGGAGUUUUCCUUUAUCUAUAUAUCGAUGAUAAACACUACUGUAAUGUCUUUUAUAUUUUAUUAUACUCAAUGAUAGGACACUGAAGGUGGACCUGAGGACAAAAAUGAUUUAGAAAAAGCAGGAGUGGGGGCGCCUGGGUGGCGCAGUCGGUUAAGCAUCCGACUUCAGCUAGGUCACGAUCUCGCGGUCCGUGAGUUCGAGCCCCGCGUCAGGCUCUGGGCUGAUGGCUCGGAGCCUGGAGCCUGUUUCCGAUUCUGUGUCUCCCUCUCUCUCUGGCCCUCCCCCGUUCAUGCUCUGUCUCUCUCUGUCCCAAAAAUAAAUUAAAAAAAAAAAAAAAAAAAAAAAAAGCAGGAGUGCAGCUAGAAAGCUGAGAAAGACCCAUUAGAAGUACGGGGAAGAAAGAGGUAGCAGCAUGAAACAUGAGAUACAGCACUCCUUAUAUCCUUCAGGGAACGUAAUGUCCUGAGAUCUAAAAUUUUCAUAAAUCAUCAUCAUGUGCAACUUAUCAUAUAAGGCAAUAACUUCAGAAAUUAAAAACAUGCCUUCCCUUUAGAGCAAAUAUAGAACAUUUCUCUAUUGAAUGUAUCUGGGACUUCUAUUAUCUGUUAGCUUCUGUAUCUGAUUCUCACAGACCAUUGCACUCGCCCUUCACUUUCACCAGAAGAGUGUUUCAGCACUUUGGAAAAUUUCUGUGUGUCCAGUGUUGAGUCAAGAACAAACAGGUGUACCAGUCUUUCACAGCAUAUGUUAAUUUAAAUUUGUGCAAAAGAAAAUUACAAAUUAUUGCAUAUCAUAUAACUUCAGAAUCAUUCAAAGAUGUUAAAAAAUAGUACUAAAUCUAUGAAUUCCAAGGAUAUGCCAAAGUAAUAUUUAUUACACUGCUUUAUAAUCAUAUUGAUGUUUCAGAGAUACUGUCCUCCAAUCUAUUAAAAAUCUUGUCAUUUGGUAUUAUAUACAUUUAUAUAUGGAUACAGAGACAGAGAGAAAGAGCAUAUUGAAUAAAAAAUAUAGAUUUGUUGGAAGUAUUAACUCCAUAAAGAUUCUCAGUAAGAAUUUAUGAUUUGUUAUAUUUAGAUUGUUAGGAAGACAUCUAAUGUAGGAUUUUAUCAAAUGUUAAUUACUAAUAAGUAAAACUUGAUAAUGAGUUGAUUUGAUUGCCCAGAAGUAGGAGAGGACCACUAAUUAAUUAUCUCAGAAUUUAAGGCCAAGGUAUUCAUGUAUUUAUAGUAAUAUUCAAAUUAUUUACUGAAUCCACAUAGUUUUCCAUCACUCAUUCUAUUAGUUCACUGUAUCACUCAAGGAAACACUUUAACCUACAAAUUAGCCUAGAAAUAAUAGCCUGUGACUAAAUGAAAUAGAGUCAAAAGAAAGUGGUUUUGUGCCACUUGACAGCUAAAAAAUAUUCAGUGUAUGCAAAUAUAGUCUGCUGAGCUAAAUCCUUUCUAGCUGUCACAGAAGAAAAAAUGUCAUCAAGAGCAGCAUCUUGGUUUAAAGGUAUUCAAGAUGUCUUUUGAGAAAGACUACCCUGGCCUUACCUUUCUAUAACAAAAAUCUUUAAAACAAACAAACAAAACAAACAGGGCACCUGGGUGGCUCAGUCGGUUAAGUGUCCAACUUCAGCUCAGAUCAUGAUCUCGCGGUUCAUGAAUUCGGGCCCCGUGUUGGGCUCUGUGCUGACAGCUGGGAGACUGCUUUGGAUUCUGUGUCUCCCUUUUUCCUGCCCACCCGUGCUCACACUCUGUCUUUCUCUCUCUCAAAAAUAAACACUGAAAAAAUUUUUAAAAAAGAAAAAUCUGUGCCCUCUUGGAAAAAGGCAUCAGGUUGUUGGUUUUUUUUUAAUUUAGAUAGUAUACUGGACCAGACUGAUGGGAUAUAUUUAUCAAGUAUAACUUAAUGAAUAAAUAUUUAUCAACAUACUUCAUCUAUUUCUGAUCCUUGUAUUUCUUAUGUAAUAUUUAUGAUUACAUAAGUUAUAUUUAUAUGUAAAAUGCUAAUAUAAGUUCACACAUAACAUAUUUUUAUCUAUAUACCUAUCUAUUAUGCCUUGAUACUUUUAAAAACAUUUACAAUAAUAUUGUAUUUAUCAUAACAGCUCCAUGAAGAAAGGUCAAAUUUCCUUAUCCUCGUUUUAAAGAUAAGAAAACAAAAUUUCACAGUGUUGAAAGGUGAAGAUGUAUGAUAGAGAAAACAAAAGAAGGAAUAAAUCUGACACUGAAGUUCAAUGUUUUAAACAAUGGAGGCCAAAUAAGAGGAGGAUUUGGAUUUGAACAAAUGUGAUUCUGAAGUGACUAUGAAUAACAACCACUGAUUAAAAUAUAUGUGGAACAUAUUAAUAUGUUAAUUAUGCAGCUUAAGAAAGAAGAGGUUAAUCUGGGCUGGGAUUUUAAAAGAUGGCUUCAUAGAAGAGGUGAGAUUUGGAUGAAAAGUCAGAUAUGGACAGAAGGUUUUCUUCACCAUGACUUGCUUCACCACUUAACACCCAAGCCUAACACAGAGCCUGGCACAUAGUACAUACUCAGAAAUAUUUGUUGAAUAAAUAACAUGUGAAUGAAUGAAGCUAUGAGAGCAAAAAAUUCUUUCCAACUUUCAUCACAUCAGAUCUUACAUUGUACUGGCCAAAAAGUGAAAGAGGAAAGAAAUGGAAGCAUAGAAAAGGAGUCAAUGUUCUUCUCUCUACUCCAAAAUUUCACAGACUUGCAAUAAUGUCUCCUCCAAGAAAGAGCCUCCCAGACUUCUCAGUUUGUCUUUAUCUGGAAAGAAGAAAGAGGAAGACAAGAAAGUCUUUGCUGCUCACUGUUGGUGCUACCCACUAAUAAAAACAAAUAUUUCAGCAAAAAGCUAACAGUUUCCAAAUAGCGUAACAAAAACGAAUUGGACAUUCCUACAUUUACCACUGCAGCCUUCUGUUUCCUCUCUAUGAACACAGUCCUGAUAUCUUAAGGAUAUAUCGAUACUAUGUGCACCCCAUUCCCCUACCUAAAUUUCUGAUCACUAAAAAGAAAGAGAAGGACAUAAUUACAGGAGUAAGCAGCAGGGUAUGGUUUUUGACAACAAGGACAGUGAGCCCGACUGCCUGAUUUCAAGUCCUGGGUCCACUAUUUCCUAACAGUGAGAUCACAGGCAAGUAGCUAGAUGCACUACUUAGAGGAAUACAAACAAAUUGGAGCUGAUCUAACCAACACAUACUUCCCAGAAGCUGAGAGACCUUCAUGAAGCAAGGAUUAAUUAUUUGUGGCAUAGUAUACAACAGUAACAACGACAGCUCAACAAAUCUACCAUAGGAGAAAUAGAAGAUAACCAUUAAGGAUAAAUAUACUAACCCUGAAAACCUCAGACUCUACCAUUUUCAUCUACUGUGAAAAUACAGUAAUGUUUGUAAUAUGUCUUUGUUUUUGCUUAUCGACAAUAAAUAUAUACUAACCCGUAAAUCCUCUCUUUACUAGCAUAAUGCCAAUGGAUUUUCAUCAUUAAAAGAUCCUCAAAUGGACAGCUGAAUUUUCAAAGCUUUCAAAGAAAGUAUAUAUUGAGCUUGUAGCUUGGUUGGUACUUUCCUCCAAAGAUAAUCCUAGUCACUGCCAACAACAUUGGAACCUUCAAUAGUCGGAACUGGAGGCCUUCACCAGAAAGCAGUCCUUUAAUCAUGUUUUUGCUCUUCCUUUCACUCCUGAAAUCAACUUUGGUAUAAGUAUGAUCCUCAGUUAUCAGACCCUAUCAUACAUCUAUGAAAUUUGAAAAUAAACAGGUGUUUAAAAUA